GGCUCAGUGGUGGAGCGCUCACCUGGCAAGUGUGAGGUCCUGGGUUCCAUCCCCAG
rnacentral:tRNA from 1 species